rnacentral:rRNA from 1 species
GACGUAGGAGACGAGCGUUGUCCGGAGUGACUGGGCGUAAAGGGCGCGUAGGCGGUCGCGUGCGCCGCUCGUGAAAGCCCCCGGCUCAACUGGGGUGUCGGCGGGCGGAACGGCGCGACUGGAGGGCGACAGAGGUGGGUGGAAUUCCCGGUGUAGUGGUGAAAUGCGUAGAGAUCGGGAGGAACACCCGUGGCGAAGGCGGCCCACUGGGUCGGCCCUGACGCUGAGGCGCGAAGGCCCGGGGAGCGAACGGG